CGAUUGAACCGCACCAAUAUC
rnacentral:miRNA from 1 species